CUCCUUACUCCACGCUUACUCCACGUAUUUAGACCACGCAUAAGAAACGCCGCUGCAAAACGCGUCUCAAUCAGCCCCCCCCCGCGUUCGGGCCGCUGAGUCACAAGUUGCCGUGGCGAUCGUUAUCUAAACCUCGGCUCUAUCGUCUCCCUCCGCGUGCCCGCUCUGUUAACGUGACGUGUCCCGGGGCACGCUAUUGCCGAAAGCCUCUCCGAUGAGGCGCGAACAACCCGGCGACGUAACGAGGACGGGACCGAAGCGUUUCGUAUAGAGCGAGAGACAUUCGAUCCCCCGCUUAAACCGAUGACGUAAACGUCGAACGGGAAACGGAUAUGGAAAAGCCGAACUCACCCCCCCCCCUUCCGCUCCGCCCCCGCGACGACGGUUCGGAGGUCUUGUACUUUUGACGUUUCUUACCGCAAUGGGUGGACGCGGCCCUCCGAUGUGACCGAAAAUAUAGGCGCGUAGGGAGACAUACGUAGAUCGCGGUCUGGUUAUGAGUUGACCUACUCCACUUUGAUUCUACCUACGCGCUCUCCUUCCACAGGGAUGCUACCCCUUUCGGGGACGCUGUCUCGCGUCACGAGGGUGCUCGCUCGAAUUGUCUCGUCGCCCGCGAAACGUCUCCUCUUCCCCGUUUCGCUCGGUCCCCCGCGCGAAGAAAUAAUUAACGUUAAAGCUUUAAUAUCCAAUUAAAACUGGUUACCGGCGAAUCGAUAUCUCUGAUAUAAUAUUUAUGUUUUUUAAUCGAGCACCACGGACUCGAGUUCUAUUGUUCAGAUCGCGGCGGGAAAUCACGUAAAUACGCGAAAUGACUAAGAGUGAAAACCCGAUUCCAUUCGCGAAUGCAUCGUAUCGCCGCGAGAUAUCUUCGAAGGAGAGCUUGUCGCGGAACGUGAUAUUGGAUUAUGAUUCCGCAACCUUUGUACGUUUAAAUUCUUGGCGAAUGAAAGAAGGAAAAUAUUAAACGCGAUGACAAUUUAUGGAAAGUGGACUCAGGACUUCAGGUCGGCCGUCGGAAACCGUUCAGAUCGGGUCUCGGGAAAUCACGUAAAUACAUGAAAUGAUUAAAAGCGAAGCUUGAUUCUAUUCGCGAAUGUGUCAUAUAUCUCUGCGAGACGUCGAGUCAGACACGUUCUCCACCGCAAACGUGCGUCAUACCCUCUCGUUCUCGAAAGAGAGCGUAUCGCGAAACGUGAUGUUGGGCUACGAUGCCGCAACUCUUAUACGUUUAAAUUCCUGGUAAAUGAAAGAAAGGAAAUGUUAAGCGCGACGACAAUUCAUGAAUUUAGACUCAGGCUUUAGGUCAGCCGUUGGAGACCGUCGAUCCCGGCCGCGUAAUCGGAGGGAUCGCUGCGAACGCGUGUCACAAAUUAUCCGCCAGUGGUGUCGAAACAUGAGAAGUCUGCGUGGUACAUUCUUUAAUAGAAUACUUUUAUUCAAACACGAGUGUUAACGAAAUCGCUGUUAAUAGAUUAAUCGCGCGUGACGACGUGGUCACGCAUGAAGCAAAACCGCAAAAACUCGGUAAUGAUAUAUAUAUAUAUAUAUAUGUAUAUAUAUAUAUAUAAUUAUACGUAUAACAAUCGCAUAUAUAGAUCAUAUACAACAAAUUCUUGGUAUAUAUAUCUGUAAUAAAAUCUCACUAACGUAGUAGUAUCUAAGGGAUGUUUUAUGCACUGUGCAUACUAAUUGCAUCGCUUCAUUUCCUUUUCUCUUCUACGGAAUACGGAGAGUACCUCUGGUGCAGUUAAAACGCACGAGAUGUGAAAAACGUGCAUUUGCCCUCUCUUAGGCACGAAUAUACAUACAUAUACAUAACAUACAUACAUAUACACAUACGCACAUAUACAUGAUAUAUUCUACAUAUAUGCACGCAUAUGUAUAUGUAUAUUCUGUUUUACAAAGACGCGACACAGAUCAAGUUCGAAUUAACGGACUCCAUAAUUAAUACACGGGACACACAUGUAAAAUAUAUCUAUAUAUAUGUGUGUAUAUAGUAUGUAGGGAGAGAUAGAGCUCGACUUUACACGAAUCAAGAUCUAAGAUCGUUCUCUCGCUGUAGGAGCCGCUGAGUCCUUCUCGCGUGCCGAAACCGAACGUUUACACAGGAAUGUCUCGGAAAGUGACGCUUGCUGAAGAGAAGUCCGAAUGGAAUCGCUCCUCUCCGAAUCAGAAACUCAUACAGCGAUGGAAGGUUUCACACCGACAUAAAAGCCGCGAGACACGCGGGAAUUCGUAGCUCGCUGUAAGGAUCGCCGAGGAGGACCAAGUAAGGGGGCGGUGUAAAAAAACUCGGAGCGACGGAGGAAGCCAGUAAGGUUGAAAUCGUGUUUACGCUAUAUUGCCUCUAGUCCUAAGGCACAGUUAUAUAAAUAUCUCUAUACCUGUGUGUGAGAUAAGUAUUACGUGCUCAACAAUAGUACUUUAAUGUGACAACCCGCGGUCAGCCCGUCAGCUCGCGAGACUCGAUCGAAGGGGCUCGUCUCGCUUCGGACUCCUCGACAAGUAUCAUCAUGCCCAUGUAUAUAUACUUAAUUGUCGCGCACCGACGCUCAAUCUGAACGGCAAUUCCAGCAGAUAGGUGCAUAAUUCAAAACCCUUCGGUAUUUGUGAUAUCCGAGACAUAUCUUUAUUCGUUAUUUUCGUAAGACAAACAUAAAGAAAUAAAAAGUACACUGAAGCGUCAA